rnacentral:rRNA from 1 species
ACGGGUGAGUAAUACAUCGGAACGUGCCCAAUCGUGGGGGAUAACGCAGCGAAAGCUGUGCUAAUACCGCAUACGAUCUACGGAUGAAAGCAGGGGAUCGCAAGACCUUGCGCGAAUGGAGCGGCCGAUGGCAGAUUAGGUAGUUGGUGAGGUAAAGGCUCACCAAGCCUUCGAUCUGUAGCUGGUCCGAGAGGACGACCAGCCACACUGGGACUGAGACACGGCCCAGACUCCUACGGGAGGCAGCAGUGGGGAAUUUUGGACAAUGGGCGAAAGCCUGAUCCAGCCAUGCCGCGUGCAGGAUGAAGGCCUUCGGGUUGUAAACUGCUUUUGUACGGAACGAAACGGUCUUUUCUAAUAAAGAAGGCUAAUGACGGUACCGUAAGAAUAAGCACCGGCUAACUACGUGCCAGCAGCCGCGGUAAUACGUAGGGUGCAAGCGUUAAUCGGGAUUACUGGGCGUAAAGCGUGCGCAGGCGGUGAUGUAAGACAGUUGUGAAAUCCCCGGGCUCAACCUGGGAACUGCAUCUGUGACUGCAUCGCUGGAGUACGGCAGAGGGGGAUGGAAUUCCGCGUGUAGCAGUG